GCUUGGAAGCAGCCAUUCAUUUAAAGAGUGCGUAACAGCUCACUAGUCGAGGAGUCCGGCGUGGAUAAUACUCGGGCAUAAACUGUUUACCGAAGCUAUGGAUGUAGAAAUACAUGGUAGGGGAGCAUUCCAACGGCGUCGAAGGUGAAGGAUGACCUUUGCUGGAGCUUUUGGAAACGCAAAUGUAGGUAUAAGUAACGAUAAAGGAGGUGAGAAACCUCCUCGCCGAAAGACUAAGGUUUCCUGAUCAACGUUAAUCGGAUCAGGGUAAGUCGGGACCUAAGGUUAAGCCGAACGGCGAUACCGAUGGAAGAAUGGUUUAAUAUUCCCAUACUACUUUAUGGAGCGAUGUGGAGACGGAGAAGUGAAAGUCCUGCCAUCUGACGGAAUAGGUGGUUGAAGAGUGUAGAUGUAGAUUCCUGUAGGCAAAUCCGCAGGGAGAGUCGACCUUGACAGUAUGCCGCGUGCUUGCACAAGGCAAAAUGGACGUAAUCAGGCUCCCAAGAAAAUCCGCUAAGCAUAUUCAUAAAGUACCCGUACCGUAAACGGACACACGUAGUUGGGUUGAAAAUACUGAGGCGCUCGAGUGAUUCACGGUUAAGGAACUAGGCAAAUUGACCCUGUAACUUCGGGAUAAAGGGUCCCAACGAGAGUUGGGCGCAGAGAAUAGGUCCAGGCAACUGUUUAACAAAAACACAGGGCUGUGCUAAAUUGAAAGAUUACGUAUACAGCCUGACACCUGCCCGGUGCUGGAAGGUUAAGAGGAGAUGUCAUCGCAAGAGAAGCAUUGAAUUGAAGCCCCAGUAAACGGCGGCCGUAACUAUAACGGUCCUAAGGUAGCGAAAUUCCUUGUCGGGUAAGUUCCGACCUGCACGAAUGGUGUAAUGAUCUGGACACUGUCUCAACCGUGAGCUCAGUGAAAUUGUAGUAUCGGUGAAGAUGCCGAUUACCCGCGAUGGGACGAAAAGACCCCGUGAACCUUUACUAUAGCUUAACAUUGAAUUUGGGUAAUUGAUGUGUAGGAUAGGCCGGAGACUUUGAAGCAGGUACGCCAGUAUUUGUGGAGUCGCUGUUGAAAUACGGCCCUUUGAUUAUUUGAGUUCUAACUCGUAGAUGCGAGGACACUGUUUGGUGGGUAGUUUGACUGGGGUGGUCGCCUCCAAAAGUGUAACGGAGGCUUCUAAAGGUGCCCUCAGGACGAUUGGUAACCGUCCGUAGAGUGUAAUGGCAUAAGGGCGCUUGACUGGGAGACAGACAAGUCGAUCAGGUAGGAAACUAGAGCAUAGUGAUCCGGUGUUUCCGUAUGGAA
rnacentral:rRNA from 1 species